rnacentral:lncRNA from 10 species
CACUCAUAUACCUGAGGACUUGGACAAGACAAGUGGGCUUCAUGAGUGUGAUGUUGAUGCUUUGCCCAUCCAGAUGCAGAGGGAAUCUGUAGCUUUACUACAUCUUGAAUCUGGGCUGGCCUUGCGGCUGCUUUGAGAAAUCAAAAGCAGUGGGACUGAUGUGGGCGACUUCCAAGCUAGGCCUCAAGAGACAUGAAGCUUGCACCGCCACCCUCUGGCAACCACCUUGCUAAGAGAGAGGAAAGCCUUAGCCAAUCAGGGGGAGGUACCACGUGGAGGAGAACAAAGGUACCUCAUCUAAAUGUUCCAGCCAACAGCUAGACAUAUGAGUGAGGCCAUCUGGGACCAGCUGUUCCCCAGCAGACCUGCCACAUGACCAUAAAUACGAGUGAGACCAGCCAAAGCCACAGAGAGCAGGGAUGAUUUCUGCCCACACUGCCAAUCCACAGAAUGGAGCAAACAAAUAAUCUAUGCUACUGAUUUUUAGAGUGAUUUGUUAUAAGGCAAUAUAUAACUGAUACAAUAAAUAAAAACUUCAUAAAUAAAAACAGAUAAAUGCUUCAUGAGAUACUCUGCACAAAGUAAAAUGUAAGCCACAGAUCAAGACAAUAUUUGAAUGAAUAUAAAUUAUCAGACUUACUACAAAGAUAUAUAUAAUAGAUAUAUAAAUGUUGACAACUCAGAAGAAAAUUAAAUUAAGCAUUAUGAAAAUAUAUAAACAAGCAAUUCCCAAGCAAGAAGAAAGUAAUGCCCAAUAAAUAUAUGAAAAGUUGCCUAACAUUAGGUAUAAUCCAAGAAAUUGAAAUUAAAACAGAUAUAAAAAACAAUUUCAUACCCAUUAAUUCAGUAAAAAGUAGUGUACAACAAAUUUUGCUAAGAAGAUGGAAUGAUGAGAGUCUCCUACACUAAUUGUGAUGGAAUAAAUUGGUGCCAUCAUUUUGGAAAACUUUGGCAGUAACUAGUAAAAUUGACAAUACGUAUUCUGGAAAGAAUAUUGCCAAUAAACAUAAGGAGAGAGAUGUGAAAUUAUCAUUCAUGCAUUAUUUACAGUACCAAAAAAUGGAAACAGCCUCAAUGUAAUCAUUGAGAGAAUAAAUCUUGAUGUCUUAGCUAGAGCAAUCAGGCAAGAGAAUAAAAUAAAGGGCAUCCAAAUUUGAAAGAAAGAAGUCAAAUUAUCCUUGUUUGCAAAUAAUACCAUCUUAUAUUUGGAAUAAACCAAAGACUCCACCAAAAAAACCUUAGAACUGAUACACAAAUUUAGUAAAAUUGCACGAUAUAAAAUCAACAUACAAAAAUUAGUAGCAUUUAUAUAUACCAACAAUGAACAAUCUGAAAAAGAAAUAAAGAAGCAAUCCCUUGACAAUAGCUCCAAAAAAAAAAAAUUGGCAAUAAACUCAACCAAAGAGUUGAAAGAUCUCUACAAUGUAAAGUAUAAAACAAUGAUGAAAGACACUGAAAGCAAUACAAAAAAUAGAAAAAUAUUUUAUGUUCAUGGAUUGGAAGAAUCAAUGUUGUUAAGAUAUCCAUACUACCCACAGUAAUCUACAGAUUCAAUACAAUUCCUAUCAAAAUACCAAUGACAUUCCUCACAGAAGUAGAAAAAAAAAAUCCUAAAAUGUAUGUGCAACCACAAAAGACCCAGAAUAGCUAAAGCCAUUUUGAGCAAAAAGAACAAAACGAGAGGAGUCAUAUUACCUGAAUUCGAAUUAUACUACAGAGCUAUAGUACACAAAAAAGCAUAGUACUGGCAUAAAAGGAGACACAUAGACUGAUGGAACAGAUAGAGAACCCAGCAAUAAAUCCAUACAUUUACAGCAAACUCUUUUUUGAUAAGGGUGCCAAGAACAUACCUUGGGGAAAGGACAGUCUCUUCAAUAAAUAGUGCUGGGAAAGCUGAAUAUCCAUAUGCAGAAGAAUGAAACUAGAACCGUAUCUAUCAACAUAUACAAAAGUAAAGUUAAAAUGGAUUAAAUACUGAAAGCUAAGACUUCAAACUAUAAAACUAUUAAGACUAAAAGAAAACAUUGGGGGAAACUCUCCGGAUGUUGGCAUGGACAAAGACUUUUUGAGUAAUAACCCCAAAACACAGGCAACAAAAGCAGAAGUAGAAAAAUGGGAUCACAUUAAGUUAAAAAGCUUCUGCACAACAAAUAAUCAAUAAAGUGAACAGACAGCCCACAGAAUGGGAGAAAAUAUUUGCAAAUUAUCUGAUGAGGAAUUAAUACGAAUAAUAUAUAAGGCACUCAAACAACUCAAGAGAAAAAAAGCUAAUAAUCUGAUUUAAAACUGGACAGAAUACAUGAAUAGAUAUUUUUCAAAAGAAGAUGUAUAAAUGGCAACCAGAUGUGUGAAAAGAUGCUCAACAUCAUUGAUCAUCAGAGAAAUGCAGAUGAAAACUACAAUGAGAUAUCAUCUUACCCCAGUUAAAAUGGCUUUUAUCCAAAAACAGCCAACAACAAAUGCUGGAGACAAUGUGGAAAAAAGAAAACCCUCAUAUACCAUUCAUGGAAAUGUAAAUUAAUACAACCACUAUGGAGAACAGUUUGGAGGUUCCUCAAAAAACUAAAACUAGAACUAUCAUAUGACUCAGCAAUCCCACUGCUAGGUAUACCCAAAAGAAAGGAAAUCAGUACAUUGAAGAGAUAUCUGCACUCCCACGUUUAUUGAAGCACUACUCACAAUAGUCAAGAUUUGCAAGCAAUCUAAGUGUCCAUCGACAGAUGAAUGGAUAAAGAAAAUGUAUGUAUAUACAAUGGAGUACUAUUUAGUCAUAAAAAAGAAUAAUAUCCUGUCAUUUGCAACAUGGAUGGGACUAGAUGACAUUAUAUUAAGUGAAAUAAGUCAGGUACAGAAAGACAAAUUUUGCAUGUUCUCAUUCAUUUGUGGGAGCUAAACAUUAAAGCAAUUGAACUCAAUAAAGCUUACCAGAGGUUGGGAAGGGUAGUGAGGGGUGCGGGGGAUGGUUAAUGGAUAUAAAAAUAUAGUUAGAUAGAAUAAAUAAGGUCAUAAUUGAUAUCACAACAGGAGGACUAUAGUUAACAAUUUAUUGUACAUUUAGAAAUGACUGAAAGUAUAUGAUUGGAUUGUUUGUAACACAAAGAAAUGAUAAAUGCUUGAGGUGAUGGAUACCUUACUUGCCCUGAUAUGAUUAUUAUGCAUUGCAUGCCUGUAUCAAAGUAUCUCAUGUAUUCCACAAAUAUAUACAC